UGGAUCGUUCAUAUCAUGUUGAACGCAGCCCAUCCCAUUAACAAUGAGCACAUAAGUUAUGUUGGGCCAGAUCAGUAGUACGGUGGGGAACCACGUGCGAAACCCUGGUGACGAUUUUU
rnacentral:rRNA from 1 species